rnacentral:piRNA from 1 species
AUGCCCUUAUAGAUGCGAUCUAUGAGCUGUG